GUCCAACUGGCUCAGUCGGAUAAGCGCCCGCUUCUCAAGCAAGAGAUGCGGGUUCGAAUCUCGGCGCUGACA
rnacentral:tRNA from 1 species